UACGUAGGGGGCGAGCGUUGUCCGGAAUCAUUGGGCGUAAAGCGCGUGUAGGCGGCCCGGUAAGUCCGCUGUGAAAGUCCAGGGCUCAACCCUGGGAUGCCGGUGGAUACUGUCGGGCUCGAGUCCGGAAGAGGCGAGUGGAAUUCCAGGUGUAGCGGUGAAAUGCGCAGAUAUCAGGAGGAACACCAAUGGCGAAGGCAGCUCGCUGGGACGUGACUGACGCUGAGACGCGAAAGCGUGGGGAGCAAACAGG
rnacentral:rRNA from 1 species